CGACAGCGUUUAUUUCUCUGCCCGAAGUUCGGUGAUGCACAGCAUUUGAAGUCAUAGGAUAGAUUUACAACUUUGAGAAUGGAUUCCCAAAUGAGUAUGACGUCACUGGUGUUGAUGAUGGCACUGUUGGCCUAUCUGCUGGUCGCUAUGGUGGCGGGGUUCAGCGUGAAGAAGACAGGGUACUGCUACUGAGUGUGCGUGGACAAGUGUGACCCCUAUGGCAUGUGCUCGCCUAGCUGUGAGACAUUAUGCUAACAGCCUACGAAGAUGACAGCGUAAAGUUCCAACACUGAAGACCACAAUUGUAGUUUAGGGUGCAUUUAUUUGUAUUUUUUAUAUUUGUAGUAUUAACAAAAGCAAUGAGUAAUCAUGAAAUCCUGUAGUUACCAUGCUAUAAUAAAAUGAGUCAGUCUCCGAGAAACCCUGACGUAAUGCAAUCUUUGGACUGCACAGGUCAAUCUCAACAGUCUAAUCUGGGGUGCCACUUUAAGCACAUGCAUUAAGUCCAGUUUUUCCAAAGCCCCGCUCAUAUGUAGAUACAUAACAAAAAUGACAAUUCAUUAUUUGAAAACAAACAUUCACUUUGUACUAACACCAUGAAAAAGCAUUACAUGUGAAAAUAUAAACACUUAUGUAUAAACGGUAGAAGCUGUACAGUGUACAUAGAUGAUGUAAAUAAACCCAGCAUCAAACAAUUUUAUAGAAAUGUUAGAUUAAUUGGUAACAUAUUUUGUUGUCUAUACAUGUGUUUUCUCAAACAAUCAA